AUUGAACGCUGGCGGCAGGCCUAAUACAUGCAAGUCGAACGGUAACAGGAAGCAGCUUGCUGCUUCGCUGACGAGUGGCGGACGGGUGAGUAAUGUCUGGGAAACUGCCUGAUGGAGGGGGAUAACUACUGGAAACGGUAGCUAAUACCGCAUAACGUCGCAAGACCAAAGAGGGGGACCUUAGGGCCUCUUGCCAUCGGAUGUGCCCAGAUGGGAUUAGCUAGUAGGUGGGGUAACGGCUCACCUAGGCGACGAUCCCUAGCUGGUCUGAGAGGAUGACCAGCCACACUGGAACUGAGACACGGUCCAGACUCCUACGGGAGGCAGCAGUGGGGAAUAUUGCACAAUGGGCGCAAGCCUGAUGCAGCCAUGCCGCGUGUAUGAAGAAGGCCUUCGGGUUGUAAAGUACUUUCAGCGGGGAGGAAGGGAGUAAAGUUAAUACCUUUGCUCAUUGACGUUACCCGCAGAAGAAGCACCGGCUAACUCCGUG
rnacentral:rRNA from 1 species